UGAAUUCUAGAAAUCAUGUAGACUGGACAAGUAAGUCUCCCUAUGUGUUGGCAACUGUUUUAAAGGAUUUUCCUCAAAGUAUACCUGGAAGCCCGUUUCCAACCAACCUCUAUGAAAAAUUAAUUGAUGCUUUGGAUGAAGGGAACAAUGAGGUCAAAACUGCCAUACUUUGCAGGUGAUGCUGUAACAACUAUUCUCUUGAACAUGUCUCAACAAUGCAGCCAACAUUCUUU